rnacentral:rRNA from 1 species
GACGAACGCUGGCGGCGUGCCUAAUACAUGCAAGUAGAACGCACAGUUUAUACCGUAGCUUGCUACACCAUAAACUGUGAGUUGCGAACGGGUGAGUAACGCGUAGGUAACCUGCCUGGUAGCGGGGGAUAACUAUUGGAAACGAUAGCUAAUACCGCAUAAUAUUAAUUAUUGCAUGAUAAUUGAUUGAAAGAUGCAAUUGCAUCACUACCAGAUGGACCUUCGUUGUAUUAGCUAGUAGGUGAGGUAACGGCUCACCUAGGCGACGAUACAUAGCCGACCUGAGAGGGUGAUCGGCCACACUGGGACUGAGACACGGCCCAGACUCCUACGGGAGGCAGCAGUAGGGAAUCUUCGGCAAUGGACGAAAGUCUGACCGAGCAACGCCGCGUGAGUGAAGAAGGUUUUCGGAUCGUAAAGCUCUGUUGUAAGAGAAGAACGGGUGUGAGAGUGGAAAGUUCACACUGUGACGGUAUCUUACCAGAAAGGGACGGCUAACUACGUG